UUACAGGUUUUUUUUUUACUGUGGAUUUGGCCCGUGGACCCAAUGUUUUUUCAUUUUCUCUUUCAGGUUAUGGUGUACUCCGAAGAAAUAAGUCUUUUUCUUGCAUGGUUUUUGGAACCUUGUGAUAUGUACGUACUUUCUGAGAUGAUUAACUUGCUCCCAUAAUGUUAGACUUUUGAGGUCUUUGAAGGUUGACCAUCUCCUUGAGUUGGCAUUAGGAACAAAAAUCACAAGACAAUUUUUGUCUUGUGAAAGUUAUGCAAACAGAUUUAUGCUUCAUAAGACUAUUUUGUUUCUCCUAUGAUCUUCCGUGGCAUAUGGCAUGCACAUCAAAGCUACCAAAGAAACGUCAUGGUUGUGAGUUAAUUUGGCUGUUCUUUCUCUCUGGAUUCUUUGAACACCUCAUGCCACAAGAGAAGAAACAGGUGUUGUGUUCUUCAUGCCCAUCGAGAUCAGGUGGUGCACAGAAAAUGCUUAGAGCAAAAACAAUGAAUAGGAGAGUUUUUGCAGGUCAACUGGAGGAUGAGCCAGGGUCUGGUAUCCCAUACCAGCGUUCGAGCUCGACACCAUCCAAGAGCUCAGUCCAAGACCACCCAUCAUGGCCCAUGGGAUCUCCCGGAAGCCUCUCACCCAC